rnacentral:piRNA from 1 species
UAAUUCCCAGGUUCUUAGAGAUGCAGCCUC